rnacentral:rRNA from 1 species
UACGUAGGGUGCGAGCGUUAAUCGGAAUUACUGGCGUAAAGCGUGCGCAGGCGGUGAUGUAAGACCGAUGUGAAAUCCCCGGGCUUAACCUGGGAACUGCAUUGGUGACUGCAUUGCUGGAGUAUGGCAGAGGGGGGUGGAAUUCCACGUGGUAAGCAGUGAAAUGCGUAGAGAUGUGGAGGAACACCGAUGGCGAAGGCAGCCCCUGGGCCAAUACUGACGCUCAUGCACGAAAGCGUGGGGAGCAAACAGG